UACGUAGGGUGCGAGCGUUGUCCGGAAUUACUGGGCGUAAAGAGCUCGUAGGUGGUUUGUCGCGUUGUUCGUGAAAACCGGGGGCUUAACCCUCGGCGUGCGGGCGAUACGGGCAGACUUGAGUACUGCAGGGGAGACUGGAAUUCCUGGUGUAGCGGUGAAAUGCGCAGAUAUCAGGAGGAACACCGGUGGCGAAGGCGGGUCUCUGGGCCGUAACUGACACUGAGGGAGCGAAAGCUAGGGGAGCGAAUGGG
rnacentral:rRNA from 1 species